rnacentral:antisense_RNA from 1 species
CCUAAUGGUAGCUGUGCGCAGGGCGUCUUCGGGCGCGCCGGUUCUGAAACUUCCCGGUCUACUAACCUGCGUACAGCUGCCACCCUA